rnacentral:rRNA from 1 species
UACGGGGGGGGCAAGCGUUGUUCGGAAUUACUGGGCGUAAAGGGCUCGUAGGCGGCCAACUAAGUCAGACGUGAAAUCCCUCGGCUUAACCGGGAACUGCGUCUGAUACUGGAUGGCUUGAGAUUGGGAGAGGGAUGCGGAAUUCCAGGUGUAGCGGUGAAAUGCGUAGAUAUCUGGAGGAACACCGGUGGCGAAGGCGGCAUCCUGGACCAACACUGACGCUGAGGAGCGAAAGCCAGGGGAGCAAAGCGGG